rnacentral:rRNA from 1 species
GACGAACGCUGGCGGCGUGCUUAACACAUGCAAGUCGAACGGAGUGGCGAACGGGUGAGUAACACGUGGGUGACCUGCCCUGCACUUCGGGAUAAGCCUGGGAAACUGGGUCUAAUACCGGAUAGUUUGGGAUGGGCCCGCGGCCUAUCAGCUUGUUGGUGGGGUAAUGGCCUACCAAGGCGGCGACGUGUAGCCGGGCUGAGAGGGUGGACGGCCACAUUGGGACUGAGACACGGCGCAGAGUGCUAUGGGGGGCAGCAGUGGGGAAUAUUGCACAAUGGGGGGAAGCCUGAGGCAGCGACGCCGGGUGGGGGAUGACGGCCGUCGGGUUGUAAACUCCUUUAACCAUCGACGCGGUAGAUGGAGAAGAAGCACCGGCUAACUACGUGCCAGCAGCCGCGGUAAUUC